rnacentral:rRNA from 1 species
AUUGAACGCUGGCGGCAGGCUUAACACAUGCAAGUCGAACGAGUGGCGGACGGGUGAAUAAUGCUUGGGCAUCUGGCUUAUGGAGGGGGAUAACUACGGGAAACUGUAGAUAAUACCGCUUAACAUAGGUUGAGCUCACGUGGGAUUAUGUAGGUGGUGAGGUAAAGGCGCACCAACCGACGAUCGCUAGCGGGUCUGAGAGGAUGACCAGCCACCCUGGGACUGAGACCCGGCCCCGACUCCUACGGGAGGCAGCAGUGGGGAAUAUUGCGCAAGGGGGGCAACCCUUACGCAGCCAUGCCGCGUGAAUGAAGAAGGCCUUCGGGUUGGAAAGUUCUUUCGGUAGCGAGGCGUUAACUAAAGAAGAAGCACCGGCUAAUCCGUGCCAGCAGCCGCGGUAAUUC